rnacentral:rRNA from 1 species
CCUACGGGUGGCAGCAGUGAGGAAUAUUGGUCAAUGGGCGCGAGCCUGAACCAGCCAAGUCGCGUGAGGGAAGACGGUCCUAUGGAUUGUAAACCUCUUUUGUCGGGGAGCAAAAGACUCCACGCGUGGCGUUCCGAGAGUACCCGAAGAAAAAGCAUCGGCUAACUCCGUGCCAGCAGCCGCGGUAAUACGGAGGAUGCGAGCGUUAUCCGGAUUUAUUGGGUUUAAAGGGUGCGCAGGCGGAAGAUCAAGUCAGCGGUAAAAUUGGGAGGCUCAACCUCUUCGAGCCGUUGAACCUGGUGGUGUGGAGUGGGCGAGAGGUAGGCGGAAUGGGUGGUGUAGCGGUG